GGGUCAUAAUUCAGUAGUAAAACAUUAGCUUUGUAUGCAAAAGUUCCCAAGUUCAAACCCUGGUGUCUCCA